UAUCAGUUGUAAUAACAGGUGCCAGAGAGAUGGACUUAUUGCUUGCUAAGGGCCAUAUGAAGCUCUUUAUAUGUUUAAGCCACUUCAUCCCCAAAUCUCUGGGGUUGGUAUUGUUUUCCUCAUCAUAUUGAUCAGUAAACAGAGAAUUUAAGUACUUUAUCCAAAAUCACACAGCUAUAAGAGAUAGAACUGAGUUGAAUCUAAGAAGUUACUCCUGGCCAGUCUAAUUACAAAUAUAAGAUCUUGAGAGGAAUCUCUGAGAUCUUCUUGGGAGAUGUGAAAUAAUAAGAUAUAUAUAUAUAUAUAUAUAUAUUAUUGGCACUUGACAAUAUGUAUAUAUUAGUCUCUCCCCUUGGCUCCUGGCACAGAGCUGUUAAAAUCUUUGUAAUUUCCCAAGUGAUAAGAGCACUGAAAACAUCUUUUGUUCUAAUAUUUGCUCUUUGAUCCUAGUUCCUAACACAGAGCUCCUAAAUCCCUGGAAACUUCUUGAGGGAUACGAGUAUCUUUUGUUUUAAUGAGGCAACUCUUGGCGGGUUCCAGGUUCAAACUUCUUCCAUCUCUAACAAAAAAAUCAGUAUUUUCCUACUCACAGCUUCCAGACCAGCCUUUGCCACCCCCUCCACUGGCCUGCGAUUCCCUUCCAGUUCUGAGGCACAAACAAUGAUGUCAAGUCAGUGUUUCCCAAGGGUGUCCAAGGGAACCAUUUCUGUCGGAUAUUAGUAGAUGCUGCCAAUCAUGAGAAUUUAUUAAUAUGUUUAUGUUGUGCGCUUUCAAAUUUGCGUACCUCUUUGCUAAAUUGUCUUUGCACUGUACUCUGGGUGCCGGCACUCACCCCCCACUCCAUCCAAACAGCGAUUUAAUCUGUUAGGAGAUAUGACUGCUGUUUCUUUCUUGCCAUGUGCCUUUCACAGUAGAAAAUAUCACUCUGUCCUAUAAAUGCAAGCCAACUAUUUCAUCUGGCCUCACCCAAAGAAACUGAAAUCUAUGGGAUGUUGGAACGAUGGCUAUCCUGAAUUUACUGAAAGAACUUUACCUCCCGUCUACGAUGUGACUGUACUUGAAAACGCUGGGCAUCACGUAUUGCCAACCUAGCACCCACUACUUCCUUCUCUUCUCCAAACAAAACCCUAUUUUAUUCAGGAAGUCGAUAUUCAGAGAGGUUAAUGAACUGGCCCUGGGUUACACAGCUUCCAAGUCAUGCAGCCAAGGAAACCAGAAGUCCCGCACUGGAGUCACGUAUACAUCCUCAUUACUCCAUGCUCUCCCCUCCCGAGCUGUUAAGUCUGAGCUUCAAAAUGAACUUUGGCAUUGCUUUCUCCUCUGACAAGAAUGGUUAUUUUGCACUCACUCAGAAGUAAAGGCAUCAUCGUUCCCUCUAACCACCAUUGUCUGCCUCAUUAAAAGAUUGAACUACUUGAUGAACAGAUCUGACA